UGUACUUUUUUUUUUUUUUACACGGGUGACUUGCUUUGCCUCCGAUUCUCUCUCCUCUUUCAGAUUUCACAUUCUCUCACCUCCUCCUCCUGUUUACUUCGCCUCCGGUUCGUCCGGUUCUUCGGCGUCCUUUCCUGUCGGGAUUUUUUUGUCAGACUGCAUACACUCUCCGUCGCCACACGACCUCUUCCAUCCGCGGGGAAAUUGCGUUUGGACAAAGUCAAAGAACAACUCUUCUUAGUCAAAACACUGCUUUUAACGUUUUCAGCUGCGAUCACUUGGGCUUUCACUGUGAUUCUUCAACGGAGUAGCUAGGGUUUCGGUUUUCGAGGGGAGUUGCAGAUCUGCGUUGUUUGCCGAGGUAAAGGAGCAGUUUCGUUUUUGGUAAGGAAUUUCUUUUCUUUGGUGUGAGGAUUGGAGUCUUAGGUUAUGGUGGUGAUGAUGGGGAUUUGAGUGCUGAGGUGGAUGGUUCGCGUAGGGACCAAGUGUUGUUUGCCGAGUAUAUGAUGAACGGAGCUCCAGAGAGCGAUCGGAGAGGGCGGUGGAGUUUUGGUAAAUAUUUCACAUGGAAUGGCAGAUCUUGUUAGCUACGGUAAUGCCGACCGUGACAUUGAGCAGGCAUUAAUUGCUUUGAAGAAGGGUGCUCAACUUUUGAAAUAUGGUCGCAAGGGAAAGCCAAAAUUUUGCCCGUUCAGACUUUCAAAUAAAUUUUUGUCAGGUCUAGA